rnacentral:rRNA from 1 species
AGGACGAACGCUGGCGGCGUGCUUAACACAUGCAAGUCGAGCGGUAAGGCCCUUUCGGGGGUACACGAGCGGCGAACGGGUGAGUAACACGUGAGCAAUCUGCCCUUCACUUCGGGAUAAGCCUCGGAAACGGGGUCUAAUACCGGAUAUGACCGCGCUACGCAUGUGGUGUGGUGGAAAGUUCUGGCGGUGGAGGAUGAGCUCGCGGCCUAUCAGCUUGUUGGUGGGGUAAUGGCCUACCAAGGCUUCGACGGGUAGCCGGCCUGAGAGGGUGACCGGCCACACUGGGACUGAGACACGGCCCAGACUCCUACGGGAGGCAGCAGUGGGGAAUAUUGGACAAUGGGCGCAAGCCUGAUCCAGCAAUGCCGCGUGUGUGAAGAAGGCCUUCGGGUUGUAAAGACACUUAAGUU